UACGUAGGGUGCAAGCGUUGUCCGGAAUUAUUGGGCGUAAGGAGCUCGUAGGCGGUUUGUUGCGUCGGCUGUGAAAACCUGAGGCUCAACCUCAGGCCUGCAGUCGAUACGAGCAGACUAGAGUGUUGCAGGGGAGACUGGAAUUCCUGGUGUAGCGGUGAAAUGCGCAGAUAUCAGGAGGAACACCGGUGGCGAAGGCGGGUCUCUGGGCAACAACUGACGCUGAGGAGCGAAAGCGUGGGGAGCGAACAGG
rnacentral:rRNA from 1 species